CACGCUACGUAAACAAGCACCAGCUUCGCGUCGAACGAAAGCUCUCGUAAGUUUCGCGACCAUACCCUCUUCAACUACCCAAUAAAAAAAAAAUAAAAUCUCGGUUGUGUAUAAUUAUUUCCCAAUCUUUAUUUUUCUUUAAAAUUUUUGAAUACGCGUUCCGGUUAUUUUUCGAUUACAGUUCAACCCUGAUCGAGUUUUUAUGGCGUCACAUCGUUAGAGGUGGUUGUCGCUAUAGGUCGUUUUAAUGAAAUGAUUGUUACGUGAAACGAAAACGAAGCUUACACUGGUACGAUGACCGAGAUAAAAUCCAGUGUAAAUAAAAGGACGAAAUAUAAUUUUUCCUGCGGCGGCUCAGUGUCCCGGCACAGUUAUACCGCUUGUUCACUGAAAUCGGAAUUAAAAUUGCGCGGUCGCGGCUGCAGGGGCUCGUAAUGUGCUGCAGCUCACGGGGCCUAUCCCGUUUGGGAGUGGUGUGGGGCCUCGUUGCUCUGGUCACCUUACUCGUCGUCUUCGUUAGCGGCAGUUGGCUCUACACCAAGGAACCCAUUACUUUCACAAAACCCGAUCGAACAACCACCAUUAGUUUUCGAGUAGGCCUCUGGAGAGUGUGUCCUACCAUAAAGAAAAUUAACUCAUCAAACACGCCGUCCCCCGCCUGUUCGCUCGUGAAGUACUCCGGCUGGGAAGAGGUUAGGUCGACGGACCUUGUGACCUCAUCAGUUCCGCUCGAGUUCACGCCCGUUUUCAUCACGCGGAUGAGGUCCUGUACCGUAUUAUCUGGAGCAGCAAUCGUCCUGUUACUUCUAGGAUUCUUCUUCGCACUUCUUGGCCAUUGUAAUGGUGACAAUAAAACCCUAAUUGCCUGUGGAAUGUUUAUAU